rnacentral:lncRNA from 1 species
UCAUUUUAUGUAUUAAGUGUUACAGAUUCUUGUUAUUUUUAAUAUACUUGAAUUGUUUGCUUUUAAAAAUAUUCAUGAAACAAGCUAUGUGGAAUCUAGUUUCACAUAAAAAUAGUGGGAAUAAUUUCUUAUAUUAAUAAUCAACAAUUUGCCUAAGUACACCUCAUAGCUAGCUUUGAUAAUGUAAUGUUCAUGUUCAAAAUAAUUGUACAAAAAAUUAGCAAAUAUGUCAGAUAGCUUCACAGGAGCAAUGCUGUGCCUUUCGAGGGCAUGGUUUUGGUUUCUAGUACUCACAUAAUAGUGGUUCAUCAUAACUAUCACAAAAUAAAUCUGAAAAACAAAGAAAUCACCCAUCUUGCCACAUGCGGUGGUGCCUGCCUUCAGUCCCUUCCCAGUCCUCAGGAGACAGAGGCAAGCAGAUCUCUGUGUUUGUAGCUAGCCUGGCCUAUAAAGCAAGUUCCAGGACAGCGUAGGCUGCACAGAAACCCAAUCUCGAAAAAAAUGAAAAACAAAAGUAUCUCUAGCAAGGAGUUAUAGUCUCAAUCCUGGUGGUUGGUAGCAUCUCCCCCCGGCCCCAAUCCCCUUACCUCCCCUCUCUCUUUGGACAUUUAUUUUUAUGUAUAUAGGUGUUUUGCCUGUAUGUGUCUGCAUCAUGUGUGCAUUGCUCAAGAAAGCCAGAAGAGGGCAUCAGACUCCCCUGGAACUGGAGAUGGUUGUUCGCUGCGGUGUGGGAACACCCACAGGCCUCUGGAGCAACAGUGCUCUUCACUGCUGAGCCAUUGCUCUAUGCCCUAGCAGCAUUUCUCAGUGCUGGGACAGCAACUGUUUAGAGAGGAUGAUCUAAAUCCACAAAAUCAAUCCUCUUCCUUUGAGGUGAAAGCAAAGGGCAAAAGCAAGAGAAAUGUUUCAGUUUAUUACUGAUAAUGAGUACCACAACCUUACUACAUUUUCUGGUUUUUGUUUAGAGACAAGAUCUCUUUAUAUAGCCCUAGGUGGUCUGGAACAAGACAGGGUUUCUCUCUAUAGCCCUGCCUGUCCUGGAACUUGCUCUGGAGACUAGAUGGGCAUCAAACUCAGAUUCACCCGCUUCUGCCUUUAAUUGCUGGGGUUAAAAUAUUUGCUAUGAGUUACUUCCCUUUUCCUAAUUUUAAGUGAUAGCCUUGUGAAAAAAUCCACCCACCUCAGUCUUCUACAAACUCCCUUUGUUAUUUAAUCAUAUUAAAAAAACAAGUUGCCUGGAGAAACUGUGAUAAGUGUUAAGAGGGAUGAAUGUAAUAGUUUUAAACAGGAAGUCAUUUCAGCUGACUUUCACAGUGAAAUUUUAAUCACAAAUCACUUUCUCUCCUUCAUCCCUUGUAUAUCUAACAACUAAGCUUCACCACAAAGCCAGGAAGGUGAUUUAAUAUACUUAGCAGUGAUUCUCAUUAGGCAAGGUGUGUGUGUGUGUAUAAUAGACUCUAUGUGUGUGUGGACACAUACAAUAUACACAAAUAUAGAGUGAAUACUCAUUUAAAACAAAAAGUGAUGUGGUGUUUAUCUGGUUGAGGGUAUCACAGUCUUCCUGUACCUCUGUCAAUCUAGGUAGCAGCUGUACAGACAUGAUUUCACCCAUGACACUUGGUCACUAUCCUUAUUAAGCCAUGUACUGGUUUAGUCUGUCUUUAAAGUUUAACUUUAGUCAGGUGGUGGUGGUGGUGGUGGUAGCACACGACUUUAAUCCCAGCAUUCAGCAUAAACUCUGGUCCUGGAACUGCAGCACAUGUUCUAAUCUGCUAAAGCCAUCUCUAGAACCCAGCUUAGUCUGUCUUACACGGCUAAUUUGUUUUUGUCUCAACUUCUCCUUGUUACUGAUGAUAAAUGCGAAGAAGCCUUCGCAGUAGCAGCCCUUUAGUCAUGGUAAAGAUUUCAGAUUCUUCAGAGGAAACACAAGGAAAGGUAAAGUGCGCCAUUACCUUUUCUUCUUGCAGAAAUCAGCUGGAGAUGACUAAUGUUCUGGCUUCCCCUGAGUGAAAGUUGCUGUUUUCUCCCUUUCUCCUCGAUGUGGAAUUCAGCCAGGACACAGUGCGCACUAAGCAGGCACUCCACCACAGCCUUGGGUGCAAGCUUUCAUAUCUCAACAGGUGGUGAUUGUAAAACUUGUGAGCUACAUCCCCAGCCCACAUUCAAAUCACUUUCAUUGUUAUUUCAAGCUAUUACAUGGUACUACACAAAACACAAGACAGCUAGUGGCAAGGAGUACAUAACAGGUCCACCAGGUGAAUGAAUCUAAAUCAUUUAUUCUCACUGAUUACUAGUCAUAUUAUAGAGCAUAAUACAGUAUUAAAAUAUAUCAUCCUCAGUAAAUCUUCACUUAGAAAAUGUGAUUGUUAUAGGUAAAAUAUAGCAUUUAGAACUUUCAUUUAAAAAUACAAUCUUAUGAAAAAUUUAAGCAUUUUUAGAAUGGGAAUUAUAAAAAUCUGUAAAUUGUUUCAGAUACUAUAUAUCUUAAAAUACUAUGCAAAAUCUUUAUUCUGAAAACCUGUCAGGAAACAGUACCUGAACCCCUUUAAAAUGGCUAGUUCUAUUUCUAAUUGCUAUUUUGGUAUUAUUGAUAAGAAAUCACAUUUCCAAUUUAACACUGCAAUUAUUUGUCAAAUAAGUGGAAUAAAUGUUGCAUAUUUAUUAAGGU